GUCAGUGUAGCUCAGUUGGUUAGAGCGCAGGAUUCAUAUCCCUGAGGUCGGUGGUUCAACUCCACCUACUGACACCA
rnacentral:tRNA from 2 species